rnacentral:rRNA from 1 species
ACUCCUACGGGAGGCAGCAGUGGGGAAUUUUGGACAAUGGGCGAAAGCCUGAUCCAGCAAUGCCGCGUGAGUGAAGAAGGCCUUCGGGUUGUAAAGCUCUUUUGUCAGGGAAGAAACGGUGAGAGCUAAUAUCUCUUGCUAAUGACGGUACCUGAAGAAUAAGCACCGGCUAACUACGUGCCAGCAGCCGCGGUAAUACGUAGGGUGCAAGCGUUAAUCGGAAUUACUGGGCGUAAAGCGUGCGCAGGCGGUUUUGUAAGUCUGAUGUGAAAUCCCCGGGCUCAACCUGGGAAUUGCAUUGGAGACUGCAAGGCUAGAAUCUGGCAGAGGGGGGUAGAAUUCCACGUGUAGCAGUGAAAUGCGUAGAUAUGUGGAGGAACACCGAUGGCGAAGGCAGCCCCCUGGGUCAAGAUUGACGCUCAUGCACGAAAGCGUGGGGAGCAAACAGGAUUAGAAACCCGGGUAGUCCC